AUGCAUGUAUAAGUAUAAACGACUUGAUCGUGAAACCGCGAACGGCUCAUUAUAACAGCUAUAAUUUACUUGACCUUGACAAUUUACUUGGAUAACUGUGGUAAUUCUAGAGCUAAUACAUGCACCAAAGCUCCGACUUCGGGAAGAGCGCAUUUAUUAGAACAAAACCAGGCGGCUUCGGCCGUACUCUGCUGACUCAGAAUAACUAAGCUGAUCGCAUGGUCUUGAACCGGCGACGUGUCUUUCAAGUAUCUGCCUUAUCAACUUUCGAUGGUAGUGUAUCUGACUACCAUGGUGGUGACGGGUAACGGAGGAUAAGGGUUCGACUCCGGAGAAGGGGCCUGAGAAAUGGCCACUACGUCUAAGGAUGGCAGCAGGCGCGCAAAUUACCCACUCUCAGAACGAGGAGGUAGUGACGAGAAAUAACGAGAUCGUUCUCUUUCGAGGCCGAUCAUCGGAAUGGGUACAAUUUAAACCCUUUAACGAGUAUCUACGAGAGGGCAAGUCUGGUGCCAGCAGCCGCGGUAAUUCCAGCUCUCGAAAUGCAUAGAAUUAUUGCUGCGGUUAAAAAGCUCGUAGUUGGAUCUGUGCUAGCCGAUCGGUCCACCUUCGGGUGUGUACUGAUUUGGCUGGCUUUCUAGCUGGUUUUUCUCCUAGUGGGCUUCACUGUUCGCUUGGAGUGACUAGCAAGUUUACUUUGAACAAAUCAGAGUGCUUCAAACAGGCGUUUCGCUUGAAUGUUCGUGCAUGGAAUAAUAGAAGAGGAUUUCGGUUCUAUUUUAUUGGUUUUAUAGACUGAGAUAAUGGUUAACAGAGACAAACGGGGGCAUUCGUAUUGCUGCGUGAGAGGUGAAAUUCUUGGACCGUAGCAAGACGAACUACAGCGAAAGCAUUUGCCAAGAAUGUCUUCAUUAAUCAAGAACGAAAGUCAGAGGUUCGAAGGCGAUCAGAUACCGCCCUAGUUCUGACCGUAAACGAUGCCAACUAGCGAUCCGCCGGUGGUUUUUUUGCCCUGGUGGGGAGCUUCCCGGAAACGAAAGUCUUCCGGUUCCGGGGGAAGUAUGGUUGCAAAGCUGAAACUUAAAGGAAUUGACGGAAGGGCACCACCAGGAGUGGAGCCUGCGGCUUAAUUUGACUCAACACGGGGAAACUCACCCGGCCCGGACACCGUAAGGAUUGACAGAUUGAUAGCUUUUUCAUGAUUCGGUGGAUGGUGGUGCAUGGCCGUUCUUAGUUCGUGGAGCGAUUUGUCUGGUUUAUUCCGAUAACGAGCGAGACUCUAGCCUACUAACUAGUCCACACAUUGUCACUGUGUGCGCGACUUCUUAGAGGGAUUUUCGGUGUACAGCCGCACGAAAUUGAGCAAUAACAGGUCUGUGAUGCCCUUAGAUGUCCGGGGCUGCACGCGCGCUACACUGGCAAAAUCAGCGUGCUUGUCCUUCCCCGAAAGGGGUAGGUAAACCCUUGAAAAUUUGCCGUGAUUGGGAUCGGAAAUUGCAAUUAUUUUCCGUGAACGAGGAAUUCCAAGUAAGUGCGAGUCAUCAACUCGCGUUGAUUACGUCCCUGCCCUUUGUACACACCGCCCGUCGCUGCCCGGGACUGAGCCAUUUCGAGAAACUUGGGGAUUGUUGGUUUAGCGGUUUUCGGAUCGCUUCAUCGAUGAGAACCAAUUUAAUCGCAGUGGCUUGAACCGGGCAAAAGUCGUAACAAGGUGGCUGUAGGUGAACCUGCAGCUGGAUCAA
rnacentral:rRNA from 2 species